rnacentral:rRNA from 1 species
GGUCAGGACGAACGCUGGCGGCGUGCUAACACAUGCAAGUCGAGCGAUGAAGCUUCUUCGGAAGUGGAUUAGCGGCGGACGGGUGAGUAACACGUGGGUAACCUGCCUCAUAGAGGGGAAUAGCCUUCCGAAAGGAAGAUUAAUACCGCAUAAGAUUGUAAUAUUGCAUGAUAUAGCAAUUAAAGGAGUAAUCCGCUAUGAGAUGGACCCGCGUCGCAUUAGCUAGUUGGUGAGGUAACGGCUCACCAAGGCGACGAUGCGUAGCCGACCUGAGAGGGUGAUCGGCCACAUUGGGACUGAGACACGGCCCAGACUCCUACGGGAGGCAGCAGUGGGGAAUAUUGCACAAUGGGGGAAACCCUGAUGCAGCCAACGCCGCGUGAGUGAUGACGGUCUUCGGAUUGUAAAGCUCUGUCUUCAGGGACGAUAAUGACGGUACCUGAGGAGGAAGCCACGGCUAACUACGUGCCAGCCGCUGC